rnacentral:rRNA from 1 species
CCUACGGGUGGCUGCAGUGGGGAAUAUUGGACAAUGGGGGCAACCCUGAUCCAGCCAUGCCGCGUGUGUGAAGAAGGCCCUCGGGUUGUAAAGCACUUUCAGUGAGGAAGAACGCCUGGUGGUUAAUACCCAUCAGGAAAGACAUCACUCACAGAAGAAGCACCGGCUAACUCCGUGCCAGCAGCCGCGGUAAUACGGAGGGUGCGAGCGUUAAUCGGAAUUACUGGGCGUAAAGCGCGCGUAGGUGGCUUGAUAAGCCGGUUGUGAAAGCCCCGGGCUCAACCUGGGAACGGCAUCCGGAACUGUCAAGCUGGAGUGCAGGAGAGGAAGGUAGAAUUCCCGGUGUAGCGGUGAAAUGCGUAGAGAUCGGGAGGAAUACCAGUGGCGAAGGCGGCCUUCUGGACUGACACUGACACUGAGGUGCGAAAGCGUGGGUAGCAAACAGGAUUAGAUACCCGAGUAGUC